ACUUGUGAGCUGGGGCCGCCCCGCAGCGGCGCUGUGGGAGGAGGGCCGCGCGGCGCUGGAGCAGCUGCUGCGUUUCAUGGUGCACCCGGCCAUCUCCUCCAUCAACCUGACGGCCGCGCUCGGCUCCCUGGCUUCCAUCGCCCGCCAGCGGCCCAUGUUCAUGGCCGAGGUCAUCCAGGCCUAUGAGACCCUGCAUGGUGAGCGCGGGGUGGCAGCCGGCGCCGUGGCCACCUCUCUUGGGGGGCCCCAUGGCCACCUCCCUUGGGUGUCCCCGUGGCCACCUUCGUUGGGGGUCCCCGUGGCCACCUCCCUUGGGGGUCCCCAUGGCCACCUUCGUUGGGGGUCCCCAUGGCCACCUCCCUUGGGUGUCCCCGUGGCUGCCUCCAUUGGAUGUCCCCAUGGUCACCACCCUUGGGUGUCCCCGUGGCCACCUCCGUUGGGUGUCCCCAUGGCCGCUUCUCUUGGGUGUCCCCAUGGCCACCUCCCUUGGGGGUCCCUGUGGCCACCUCUCUUGAGGGUCCCCAUGGCCACCUUCGUUGGGGGUCCCCGUGGCCACCUCUCUUGAGGGUCCCCAUGGCCACCUUCGUUGGGGGUCCCCGUGGCCACCUCCCUUGGGGGUCCCCAUGGCCACCUUCGUUGGGUGUCCCCAUGGCCACCUUCGUUGGGGGUCCCCGUGGCCACCUUCGUUGGGUGUCCCCGUGGCCACUUCCAUUGGGUGUCCCCGUGGCUGCCUCCAUUGGGUGUCCCCAUGGUCACCACCCUUGGGUGUCCCCAUGGCUGCCUCCGUUGGGUGUCCCCAUGGCCAUCUCCCUUGGGUGUCCCCAUGGUCGCUUCUCUUGGGUGUCCCCAUGGUCACCAUCCUUGGGUGUCCCCAUGGCCACCUCUCUUGGGUGUCCCCACGGCCAUCUCCAUUGGGUGUCCCUAUGGCCAUCUCUGUUGGGUGUCCCCACGGUCACCACCUUUGGGUGUCCCCAUGGCCACCUCUCCUGGGUGUCCCCAUGGCCACCAUCCUUGGGUGUCCCCAUGGCCACCACCCUUGUGUGUCCCCAUGCCCAUCUCCAUUGGGUGUCCCCAUGGCCACCGCUUUUGGGUGUCCCCAUGGCCACCACCCUUGGGUGUCCCCAUGGCCACCGCUUUUGGGUGUCCCCACAACCAUCUCUCCUGGGUGUCCCCUCAACCAUCUCCGUUGGGUGUCUCCAUGGCCACCUCUCCUGGGUGACCCCAUGGUCACCACCCUUGGGUGUCCCCAUGCCCACCUCCGUUGGGUGUCCCCACAACCAUCUCUCCUGGGUGUCCCCAUGGCCAUCUCCAUUGGGUGUCCCUGUGGCCACCUCUGUUGGGAGUCCCCACAACCAUCUCCGUUGGGUGUCCCCAUGGCCACCGCUUUUGGGUGUCCCCAUGGCCACCACCCUUGGGUGUCCCCAUGCCCACNNNNNN
rnacentral:lncRNA from 1 species